rnacentral:misc_RNA from 1 species
CGCACAUUGCGCCCUUUGGUAUUCCGAGGGGCACGCCUGUUCGAGCGUCAUUUAAACCAUCAAGCCCAGCUUGGUCUUGGACCUGGUCGAGCGACCUGUCCGUAACCCUUUGGCGGUGCAGUCCGGCUUCAAGCGUAGCAGAAUUUUCGCUUCAGGAGCCCGCGGCGGUACCUGCCAGGAAAUUACCCUCUAAAGUUUGACCUCGGAUCAGGUGGGGAUACCCGCUGAACUUAA